CCUACGGGAGGCAGCAGUAAGGAAUAUUGGACAAUGGAGGAAACUCUGAUCCAGCGAUGCCGCGUGAAGGAAGACGGCCCUAUGGGUUGUAAACUUCUUUUAUACAGGAAGAAACCUUUCCACGUGUGGAAAGCUGACGGUACUGUAAGAAUAAGGAUCGGCUAACUCCGUGCCAGCAGCCGCGGUAAUACGGAGGAUCCAAGCGUUAUCCGGAAUUAUUGGGUUUAAAGGGUCCGCAGGCUGUUUGUUAAGUCAGGGGUGAAAUCCUACCGCUCAACGGUAGAACUGCCUUUGAUACUGGCAAACUUGAGUUAUUGUGAAGUAGUUAGAAUGUGUAGUGUAGCGGUGAAAUGCAUAGAUAUUACACAGAAUACCAAUUGCGAAGGCAGAUUACUAACAAUUAACUGACGCUGAGGGACGAAAGCGUGGGUAGCGAACAGGAUUAGAUACCCUGGUAGUCCACGCCGUAAACGAUGGUCACUAGCUGUUCGAUGUACAUUGGUACAUUGAGUGGCUAAGCGAAAGUGAUAAGUGACCCACCUGGGGAGUACGCUCGCAAGAGUGAAACUCAAAGGAAUUGACGGA
rnacentral:rRNA from 1 species